rnacentral:rRNA from 1 species
GACGAACGCUGGCGGCGGGCUUAACACAUGCAAGUCGAACGGAAAGGCCCUGCUUUUGUGGGGAUCUCGAGUGGCGAACGGGUGAGUAACACGUGAGUAACCUGCCCUUGACUUUGGGAUAACUUCAGGAAACUGGGGCUAAUACCGGAUAGGAGCUCCUGCUGCAUGGUGGGGGUUGGAAAGUUUCGGCGGUUGGGGAUGGACUCGCGGCUUAUCAGCUUGUUGGUGGGGUAGUGGCUUACCAAGGCUUUGACGGGUAGCCGGCCUGAGAGGUUGACCGGCCACAUUGGGACUGAGAUACGGCCCAGACUCCUACGGGAGGCAGCAGUGGGGAAUAUUGCACAAUGGGCGGAAGCCUGAUGCAGCAACGCCGCGUGCGGGAUGACGGCCUUCGGGUUGUAAACCGCUUUAGCCUGUGACGAAGCGUGAGUGACGGUAAUGGGUAAAGAAGCACCGGCUAACUACGUG